UGUGGGUACCAUGGGGCAGGUGUGGGUCCCAUGGGGCAGGUCAGGGUCCCAUGGGACAGGUGUGGGUGCCAUGGGACAGGUGAGGGUCCCGUGGGACAGGUGUGGGUCCCAUGGGGCAGGUGUGGGUGCUGUGGGACAGGUGUGGGUGCUAUGGGGCAGGUGUGGGUCCCAUGGGGCAGGUGUGGGUCCCAUGGGGCAGGUGAGGGUCCAGUGGGACAGGUGAGGGUCCCGUGGGUGCCGUGGGGCAGGUGAGGGUCCCACGUGGGCAGGUGUGGGUACCGUGGGGCAGGUGAGGGUCCAGUGGGUGCUGUGGGGCAGGUGUGGGUCCCAUGGGGCAGGUGUGGGUCCCAUGGGACAGGUGUGGGUCUCAUGGGACAGGUGUGGGUCCCAUGGGGCAGGUGUGGGUGUCAUGAGACAGGUGUGGGUCUCAUGGGGCAGGUGUGGGUCCCGUGGGACAGGUGUGGGUCUCAUGGGACAGGUGAGGGUCCCAUGGGGCAGGUGUGGGUCCCAUGGGGCAGGUCAGGGUCCCAUGGGACAGGUGUGGGUGCCAUGGGACAGGUGAGGGUCCCGUGGGACAGGUGUGGGUCCCAUGGGGCAGGUGUGGGUGCUGUGGGACAGGUGUGGGUGCUAUGGGGCAGGUGUGGGUCCCAUGGGGCAGGUGUGGGUCCCAUGGGGCAGGUGAGGGUCCAGUGGGACAGGUGAGGGUCCCGUGGGUGCCGUGGGGCAGGUGAGGGUCCCACGUGGGCAGGUGUGGGUACCGUGGGGCAGGUGAGGGUCCAGUGGGUGCUGUGGGGCAGGUGUGGGUCCCAUGGGGCAGGUGUGGGUCCCAUGGGACAGGUGUGGGUCUCAUGGGGCAGGUGUGGGUCCCGUGGGACAGGUGUGGGUCUCAUGGGACAGGUGAGGGUCCCAUGGGG